GAGGUUAUUAGGGUAGGCCCUAAUCUGACUGAUGUCCUUCUAAGAAGAGGAAAUUAGGACACAGAGACAGACACGUGGAAGAAAUGUCAUGUGAAGACAGUGAGAAGACAGCUGUCUAUAAACCAAGAAGAGAGGCUUCAGAAGAAACCCGCCCUGUGAACACUUUAAUCUCAGACUCCUAUUCUUCAGAACUUUGGUUUUUGAGUCUCCAGCUUCACCUCUCAACUCCUGCCACUUUAUGGAACACCCUCAGUGCCCAGGGGUCUCUUGUCCUUGGUCCUGGUUCUCCCUGGGCUGCCUUGGUCUGCUUCCUCAACCAGGGUGAUGCAUUGAAUUGUGACACAUGGGGGUCAGUGAAAUUAACUAUCUUUCCCAUGAGAAAUAAUUUAUCAUUCAGCAUUUGCUAUUAAUGUGCCUCUGCUGCAAGUGAAUGAAGACGUAUAAAGUGUAUGGAAAUUGUAGAGCAGAUGAACACUGCAUAAAUAUCCUUUAAUGUUUAUGAUGAGUACAAUAAUUUUCUCAUCUGUAAAUGGGAGGGAUUUGGGCUGCAGAAAAAGAGACGUUGAUAAAUUUGGUUGCUGUAAAAAAAUGGCUGUAAUUUCUUCUAUAGAAGCUGUACCUCUUUGGGUCUAAUUUGAAUUUUGUUUUCUGCCUGUUUCAAGGAGGUCUUUUAAAACUUGUGAUUACUAUUGGAUAUGAUUGUGUCUGUAGAAAGACUUCCCAGCCUUCUUUAGAACUUAGGAGGUGCCUCUGUUCUCAGCAUAGGCAAUAUUAAUCUCAGCUCACAUUGUCUCUGGAUGGGAUUUCUGUUUGAGAAACAAGAACUAGAAUGGACAAGGUGAGCUUUAAUUAUUCAAAUUCAUCUAAAAAAUAUCUCCUGAAGGCUUAUUGAAAGCCAGAUACUGUGCUGGACAGUGAGCGAGGGAUACAAAAUUCAUGAGAAAGCCAGUGAUUCUCACUUAUCCAUCUUAGAAAGUGUACUUGAACCCAAGGGGGCAUGUACCAAAGUGUUCACUGAUGUAUUGUUAAUAAUAGUGAAAAUUCAGAAAUGACCUACAUGCCCAUCAUUAAGAGACUGGCAAAACCAAUUCUGAGAUAUUCAUACAAUGGAAAACCAUGCAUCAUUUGUAAAGAGGAAGGUAGAUCCACAAGUGGAAAGGUCUCCAAGACAUGAUGUUAGAGAAAAAAUAACUAUAUAAAGUGAUGCAUCCAGUAUGAUACUCUAUGUAAAUGCACAACACACACAAACACACAGUCACACAAAUACACACACUCUCUCUCUCUUUCUCUGUUAUUUAUUUUUUCCAUAAUCACUGUGAUGCAUAGCAAUGACCCUGGAACAAUACCCUCUGAUGUGGGUCCUCCCACUGCACAGUGGCAGGAAGUGUUAUUCACAUGGGUGAUGGGUUGUUUGGGACAGUCUGGCAGCCACAGCUGAUAGCCCCACACCAAUAUGAUGACUUUUGUUAACUUGGGGGCGUGAAGGGGGCCAGGAUUAAAGAUAGUCGCCAAAGGGAGUUUUAACUAUUAGCUACAAUGAUAUAAUUCUCAAAGGAGAUUAUAUUAAUGAAUUAAAUGUGUAUCAAAUAUUAAUUUUAAAAUGAGUAAUAUGUAAUUCCUGCAUUCUGGGUGCUAACAGUCCAGAGGAGAAAUAUGUACAUACUCAAGUAAUUCUGAUAUAAAACAUAGUGUGGCCAGUACUAGCCUUGAUAACCAUGUAUUAUGGCAAUAUGAAGGGGAGAG
rnacentral:lncRNA from 10 species